CUCCCGCCCGCUGGGCUCCCCGCCGGGCUCCCCACCGGCUCCGGAGGAGGCAGCGGCCGGGGCGAAGCGGCUGUGGGGCGAAGUUGGGCACCGAGCGGGAGCCGAGGCCGCCGCGGACCCCGCAAUUCCGCAGCCGGCGACUGGAGCCCACCUCUGCAGAGACAAAGUUCACCACCAGAUGCCCGAGGAUUCAGCAAACAUCGAGGAAGGAGAGGACACAGUUUGGAUGUGAAAUAGCAACACCUUCUGCACUGAAGAAUAAUGAAACAAUAUUUUUCAUUAUACAAGAAAAUGGAGCAUGUUGUUGGAUCCUGCCAAGCUAGAACACUUUACACUGGUCUAUACAUGUGGAAGUGAACAGAGAUUGUUCACUUCUAAAAUAUUCUGAGAAAUUACCUGACUUGUCAGUUUUCCUCUACCCAAAUAAAGGUGGAGCUUUAUGAUCCUCCUUUUCAGCUGGGGGAAGGAGGGCUGGGAAAAGGCUCUGCACUUUUGAAAAGGCAGCCAUAUUUGCACUUUGUCCCCCUGUGCAGAGGUAAGCCAUGUGCUGGGCUUUGUGGAACCUCACAAAAUGGCAGUCCCUGAACUGACUUCUCUCUAGGAACCAUUGAGACCCACACCCUUUUGUGUGUUUCUGGUCCAUACAAACAGAGAAUCUAAAUCACUUCGAA